rnacentral:rRNA from 1 species
UACGUAGGGCGCGAGCGUUGUCCGGAAUUAUUGGGCGUAAAGAGCUCGUAGGCGGCUUGUUGCGUCUGCUGUGAAAUCCCGGGGCUUAACCCCGGGCGUGCAGUGGAUACGGGCUGGCUGGAGGCAGGCAGGGGAGAACGGAAUUCCUGGUGUAGCGGUGAAAUGCGCAGAUAUCAGGAGGAACACCGGUGGCGAAGGCGGUUCUCUGGGCCUGUACUGACGCUGAGGAGCGAAAGCGUGGGGAGCGAACAGG